rnacentral:rRNA from 1 species
CCUACGGGUGGCUGCAGUGGGGAAUAUUGGACAAUGGGGGCAACCCUGAUCCAGCCAUGCCGCGUGUGUGAAGAAGGCCCUCGGGUUGUAAAGCACUUUCAGUGAGGAAGAACGCCUGGUGGUUAAUACCCAUCAGGAAAGACAUCACUCACAGAAGAAGCACCGGCUAACUCCGUGCCAGCAGCCGCGGUAAUACGGAGGGUGCGAGCGUUAAUCGGAAUUACUGGGCGUAAAGCGCGCGUAGGUGGCUUGAUAAGCCGGUUGUGAAAGCCCCGGGCUCAACCUGGGAACGGCAUCCGGAACUGUCAAGCUAGAGUGCAGGAGAGGAAGGUAGAAUUCCCGGUGUAGUGGUGAAAUGCGUAGAGAUCGGGAGGAAUACCAGUGGCGAAGGCGGCCUUCUGGACUGACACUGACACUGAGGUGCGAAAGCGUGGGUAGCAAACAGGAUUAGAUACCCGUGUAGUC